rnacentral:rRNA from 1 species
UACGUAGGGGGCAAGCGUUGUCCGGAAUCAUUGGGCGUAAAGAGCUCGUAGGCGGCUCGGUAAGUCGGGUGUGAAACCCCCAGGCUCAACCUGGGGACGCCACCCGAUACUGCUGUGGCUAGAGUCCAGUAGGGGAGUGUGGAAUUCCCGGUGUAGCGGUGAAAUGCGCAAAUAUCGGGAGGAACACCAGCGGCGGAAGGCGGCACUCUGGGCUGGAACUGACGCUGAGGAGCGAAAGCGUGGGGAGCGAACAGG